AAAAAAAAAAAGCCAUAGAAAUCUAGAAGAAGGAUAUAUGAUUUUCGGAUCUAUGGAGAAUUCUAUAUAUAUAAAACAAAAUUACAAACAGAAAUAGAAAAUGGUAAAUUGGUUCAUUGAGAUGAACAAAGUACCUGAUUUCUGAGUAAUCGAUUAAUGAUGUUGAGAAACCCAUCUUUGAGAUUUUACACAGUAGUCAUGGAGUUUUUGGAAGAGAGAAAGUGGAGAUGUGGAGAUCGUGGGGAUGAAAGAGAAAAUCGUUUGAGAAAGAAACAAAGUUAAAUAAAAACGACACAUAAAAAUCCUGCGUGAAAAUGAAAGAAUAAAAAAAUAGUACUAAGGUGAUGUGUCAAUCACUGAAUGCAUCAGUUAUUGGAAAAGUGACUGCUGAUUUAGUAUAAUUAGAUGUUAUUGGAUUAUGAUUUUAUAUUUUUUUCUUCACAAAUUAUACUCUUUGCUUCUCUAUAAUUUCUAAUUUCUGUGAAAAUUCACCACACAAACAAUUUUUAAAACAAAGCAUUAAUCCAACACAUGAAAAGUAAAU
rnacentral:sRNA from 1 species